UACGUAGGUGGCGAGCGUUGUCCGGAAUUACUGGGUGUAAAGCGCGUGUAGGCGGGAGGCCAAGUCUGUGGUGAAAUCGCUCGGCUUAACUGGGCGGGGUCCAUGGAAACUGGUCACCUGGAGGUCGGUAGAGGCAAGUGGAAUUCCCGGUGUAGUGGUGAAAUGCGUAGAGAUCAGGAGGAACACCAGUGGCGAAGGCGGCUUGCUGGGCCGGACCUGACGCUGAGACGCGAAGGCGUGGCGAGCGAACGGG
rnacentral:rRNA from 1 species